rnacentral:rRNA from 1 species
GGCGGACGGGUGAGUAACACGUGAGUAACCUGCCUUAGACAUUGGGAUAGCCUCGGGAAACCGGGAUUAAUACCAAAUAAAAUCAUAAUGACACAUGUCAUAACGAUCAAAACUCCGGUGGUCUAAGAUGGACUCGCGUCCCAUUAGCUAGUUGGUAGAGUAAAAGCCUACCAAGGCGACGAUGGGUAGCCGGCCUGAGAGGGUGAACGGCCACAUUGGAACUGAGAUACGGCCCAG